rnacentral:rRNA from 1 species
GACGAACGCUGGCGGCGUGUUUAACACAUGCAAGUCGAACGGAAAGGCCCUGCUUUUGUGGGGUGCUCGAGUGGCGAACGGGUGAGUAACACGUGAGUAACCUGCCCUUGACUUUGGGAUAACUUCAGGAAACUGGGGCUAAUACCGGAUAGGAGCUCCUGCUGCAUGGUGGGGGUUGGAAAGUUUCGGCGGUUGGGGAUGGACUCGCGGCUUAUCAGCUUGUUGGUGGGGUAGUGGCUUACCAAGGCUUUGACGGGUAGCCGGCCUGAGAGGGUGACCGGCCACAUUGGGACUGAGAUACGGCCCAGACUCCUACGGGAGGCAGCAGUGGGGAAUAUUGCACAAUGGGCGGAAGCCUGAUGCAGCAACGCCGCGUGCGGGAUGACGGCCUUCGGGUUGUAAACCGCUUUCGCCUGUGACGAAGCGUGAGUGACGGUAAUGGGUAAAGAAGCACCGGCUAACUACGUG